rnacentral:misc_RNA from 1 species
GAUGAAGAACGUAGCGAAAUGCGAUAAGUAAUGUGAAUUGCAGAAUUCAGUGAAUCAUCGAAUCUUUGAACGCACAUUGCGCCCAUUAGUAUUCUAGUGGGCAUGCCUGUUCGAGCGUCAUUUCAACCCUUAAGCCUAGCUUAGUAUUGGGAAUCGACUUUACUGUCGUUCCUCAAAUUCAACGGCGGAUUUAUAGCAAUCUCUGAACGUAGUAAUUUUUUUUCUCGUUUUUGAAAUACUAUAAACCUCAGCCGCUAAACCCCCAAUUUCUUAUGGUUGACCUCGGAUCAGGUAGGAAUACCCGCUGAACUUAAGCAUAUCAAAAGCGGAGGA